UACGGAGGGUGCAAGCGUUGUUCGGAAUUACUGGGCGUAAAGCGCGCGUAGGCGGUUUGUUAAGUCAGAUGUGAAAGCCCUCGGCUCAACCGGGGACGUGCAUUUGAAACUGGCAGACUUGAGUAUUGGAGGGGGUGGUGGAAUUCCCGGUGUAGAGGUGAAAUUCGUAGAUAUCGGGAGGAAUACCGGUGGCGAAGGCGGCUUUCCGGACCACUCCUGACGCUCAGAUGCGACAGCUAGGGGAGCAAACGGG
rnacentral:rRNA from 1 species